rnacentral:rRNA from 1 species
AGCUUGUAGGCGGUUUGUCGCGUCUGCUGUGAAAGACCGGGGCUUAACUCCGGUUCUGCAGUGGGUACGGGCAGACUAGAGUGUGGUAGGGGAGACUGGAAUUCCUGGUGUAGCGGUGAAAUGCGCAGAUAUCAGGAGGAACACCGAUGGCGAAGGCAGGUCUCUGGGCCAUUACUGACGCUGAGAAGCGAAAGCAUGGGGAGCGAACAGGAUUAGAUACCCUGGUAGUCCAUGCCGUAAACGUUGGGCGCUAGGUGUGGGACUCAUUCCACGAGUUCCGUGCCGCAGCUAACGCAUUAAGCGCCCCGCCUGGGGAGUACGGCCGCAAGGCUAAAACUCAAAGGAAUUGACGGGGGCCCGCACAAGCGGCGGAGCAUGCGGAUUAAUUCGAUGCAACGCGAAGAACCUUACCAAGGCUUGACAUACACCGGAAUCAUGCAGAGAUGUGUGCGUCUUCGGACUGGUGUACAGGUGGUGCAUGGUUGUCGUCAGCUCGUGUCGUGAGAUGUUGGGUUAAGUCCCGCAACGAGCGCAACCCUCGUUCCAUGUUGCCAGCACUUCGGGUGGGGACUCAUGGGAGACUGCCGGGGUCAACUCGGAGGAAGGUGGGGAUGACGUCAAAUCAUCAUGCCCCUUAUGUCUUGGGCUUCACGCAUGCUACAAUGGCCGGUACAGAGGGUUGCGAAACCGUGAGGUGGAGCUAAUCCCAAAAAACCGGUCUCAGUUCGGAUUGGGGUCUGCAACUCGACCCCAUGAAGUCGGAGUCGCUAGUAAUCGCAGAUCAGCAACGCUGCGGUGAAUACGUUCCCG